GACGAACGCUGGCGGCGUGCUUAACGCAUGCAAGUCGAACGGAAAGGCCCUGCUUUUGUGGGGUGCUCGAGUGGCGAACGGGUGAGUAACACGUGAGUAACCUGCCCUUGACUUUGGGAUAACUUCAGGAAACUGGGGCUAAUACCGGAUAGGAGCUCCUGCUGCAUGGUGGGGGUUGGAAAGUUUCGGCGGUUGGGGAUGGACUCGCGGCUUAUCAGCUUGUUGGUGGGGUAGUGGCUUACCAAGGCUUUGACGGGUAGCCGGCCUGAGAGGGUGACCGGCCACAUUGGGACUGAGAUACGGCCCAGACUCCUACGGGAGGCAGCAGUGGGGAAUAUUGCACAAUGGGCGGAAGCCUGAUGCAGCAACGCCGCGUGCGGGAUGACGGCCUUCGGGUUGUAAACCGCUUUCGCCUGUGACGAAGCGUGAGUGACGGUAAUGGGUAAAGAAGCACCGGCUAACUACGUGCCAGCAGCCGCGGUGAUACGUAGGGUGCGAGCGUUGUCCGGAUUUAUUGGGCGUAAAGGGCUCGUAGGUGGUUGAUCGCGUCGGAAGUGUAAUCUUGGGGCUUAACCCUGAGCGUGCUUUCGAUACGGGUUGACUUGAGGAAGGUAGGGGAGAAUGGAAUUCCUGGUGGAGCGGUGGAAUGCGCAGAUAUCAGGAGGAACACCAGUGGCGAAGGCGGUUCUCUGGGCCUUUCCUGACGCUGAGGAGCGAAAGCGUGGGGAGCGAACAGGCUUAGAUACCCUGGUAGUCCACGCUGUAAACGGUGGGUACUAGGUGUGGGGUCCAUUCCACGGGUUCCGUGCCGUAGCUAACGCUUUAAGUACCCGCCUGGGGAGUACGGCCGCAAGGCUAAAACUCAAAGGAAUUGACGGGGCCCCGCACAAGCGGCGGAGCAUGCGGAUUAAUUCGAUGCAACGCGUAGAACCUUACCUGGGUUUGACAUGGAUCGGGAGUGCUCAGAGAUGGGUGUGCCUCUUUUGGGGUCGGUUCACAGGUGGUGCAUGGCUGUCGUCAGCUCGUGUCGUGAGAUGUUGGGUUAAGUCCCGCAACGAGCGCAACCCUUGUUCACUGUUGCCAGCACGUUAUGGUGGGGACUCAGUGGAGACCGCCGGGGUCAACUCGGAGGAAGGUGGGGACGACGUCAAGUCAUCAUGCCCCUUAUGUCCAGGGCUUCACGCAUGCUACAAUGGCUGGUACAGAGAGUGGCGAGCCUGUGAGGGUGAGCGAAUCUCGGAAAGCCGGUCUCAGUUCGGAUUGGGGUCUGCAACUCGACCUCAUGAAGUCGGAGUCGCUAGUAAUCGCAGAUCAGCAACGCUGCGGUGAAUACGUUCCCGGG
rnacentral:rRNA from 1 species